rnacentral:rRNA from 1 species
AACGUAGGGUGCAAGCGUUAUCCGGAUUUAUUGGGCGUAAAGCGUACCGUCGGUGUCUUAGUAAGUCUUUUGUUUAAGCCUGGGGCCCAACUCCAGAAAAGCAUGGGAAACUACUAAGAUUGAGUCUGUUAGGGGCAGCUGGAAUUCUCGGUGGAGGGGUGAAAUCCGUAGAUAUCGAGAGGAACACCAUACGCGAAGGCAGGCUGCUGGGACAUGACUGACACUCAGGGACGACAGCUCGGGUAGCAAAAGGG